rnacentral:rRNA from 1 species
AUUGAACGCUGGCGGCAGGCUUAACACAUGCAAGUCGAACGAGUGGCGGACGGGUGAGUAAUGUCUGGGAAACUGCCUGAUGGAGGGGGAUAACUACUGGAAACGGUAGCUAAUACCGCAUACCAUCAGAUGUGCCCAGAUGGGAUUAGCUAGUUGGUGGGGUAAUGGCUCACCAAGGCGACGAUCCCUAGCUGGUCUGAGAGGAGGACUGUCCAAACUGGAACUGAGACACGGUCCAGACUCCUACGGUAGGCAGCAGUGGGGAAUAUUGCACAAGGGGCGCAAGCCUGAUGCAGCCAUGCCGCGUGUAUGAAGAAGGCCUUCGGGUUGUAAAGUACUUUCAGCGGGGAGGCGUUACCCGCAGAAGAAGCACCGGCUAACUCCGUGCCAGCAGCCGCGGUAAUUC